UAUUUAAAAGAAAUUGAAGUGAUAUUUCAUCAGUUUGUUCAAUUUUAUACCAUGAUGAAAGUUGUGUCAGCGCUCAUUGUUCUGGUUGUAUCAGUCAGUGUGACCCAAGGACUUUUCUUCGGAAAUUCCAAAAAAUGGGAUGGUUUGAAAGUGACUUGGGGCGUCAAUCCUCUAAAUUCACAAUACUUUUCAACGUUACCAAGAACAGUUGCCGACGCUACAAAAGCAGGAUUCAUUAAAAUAUCUACUGAUUGUUCUAACAAUGGUAAAUUUAAUGGUAACAGAUACAUUAAAGGAGGAGAUUAUGCUGUUGUUCUGUUAUUUGAUAAUCAAGGCUACAUAGCUGGCCAACAAGCCGGUUUGCCAACAAACUCUAACUACCCUUCUCGUAACAUUCAACCUCCGUUUGUAGCUGAUGGCAACCAUUACUUUAUGACUGCCUAUUAUGUAAAUCCGUCAACUAUCUGUUCUAAGGGAAGGUCAAGUGCAAUGUUCAGCACUCAAGGUACAGGUACCGAUCUUUACAUCCAAAAUGGAACAAACCCUUCUACGACCAUAAAGAUUCCAAGUAAGCAGUCAGAUAUGGGACACACGAGAUGGGUUAAGGGAAAAUGUUUCCCUACUAUGGGCGUUCACUAUUGGUAUGAAUUGAGCAAAAAUACAGACUGCCAGAGAAUGUUCCCAGUUUUCUUAUUGUACAAUAACGGCCAUUUGAAUGCAUUUGGUUGGGCUUUUAAUACCGACCAAAGUUCACCCAGAUAUGAACAUCCUACAAAAAAUGUCUUUACUGCAUUUAUGGAAGAGGUGCCAACAUGUUUGGCGUCAGUUGGAACUAUUUCUACUAUGCAUAUAUACCUGACUAGUAACCCCGUUGGUGAUAUCUGUUAGAUAUAUUAAACUUUU